GCAAGUAGGCCUCCCUUUGCUUGAACACUGACACACACACGCUAGACUUCUGAUACACCUGGUACCUACCCAACUCUGCCUGGAUUGGAUAUCAUCAUGCCCCUGCAGUUGCUUCACGUGCGUGUAAGUUACACUAGCUGCAACUGGCUAACCUCUGUGACACUUUGUGUGUGCCACUGUCCUUUCUAUGCCGAAAGCUUUCCUAGUCUGAAGGUGGUCUGUCGAGGGAGCUUGGUUAUAGACUAGUCUGGUGGUCUGUCGAGGGAGCUUGGUUAUAGACUAGUCUGAAGGUGGUCUGUCGAGGGAGCUUGGUUAUAGACUAGUCUGAAGGUGGUCUGUCUAGGGAGCUUGGUUAUAGACUAGUCUGAAGGUGGUCUGUCUAGGGAGCUUGGUUAUAGACUAGUCUGAAGGUGGUCUGUCUAGGGAGCUUGGUUAUAGACUAGUCUGAAGGUGGUCUGUCUAGGGAGCUUGGUUAUAGACUAGUCUGAAGGUGGUCUGUCUAGGGAGCUUGGUUAUAGACUAGUCUGAAGGUGGUCUGUCUAGGGAGCUUGGUUAUAGACUAGUCUGAAGGUGGUCUGUCUAGGGAGCUUGGUUAUAGACUAGUCUGAAGGUGGUCUGUCUAGGGAGCUUGGUUAUAGACUAGUCUGAAGGUGGUCUGUCUAGGGAGCUUGGUUAUAGACUAGUCUGAAGGUGGUCUGUCUAGGGAGCUUGGUUAUAGACUAGUCUGAAGGUGGUCUGUCUAGGGAGCUUGGUUAUAGACUAGUCUGAAGGUGGUCUGUCUAGGGAGCUUGGUUAUAGACUAGUCUGAAGGUGGUCUGUCUAGGGAGCU